rnacentral:rRNA from 1 species
AACAAACGCUGGCGGCGUGCCUAACACAUGCAAGUCGUACGAGAAAGGGUCCUUCGGGGCCUGAGUAAAGUGGCGCACGGGUGAGUAACGCGUGGAUAAUCUGCCCUUCAGUUGGGAAUAACUCAUCGAAAGGUGGGCUAAUACCGAAUAAUGCUGUGAGACCUCGGUUGAUCAGCCAAAGAGAGCCUCUGCUUGCAAGCCCUCGCUGAAGGAUGAGUCCGCGUACCAUUAGCUAGUUGGUAGGGUAAUGGCCUACCAAGGCGACGAUGGUUAGCUGGUCCGAGAGAAAGAUCAGCCACACUGGAACAUAGACAAGGUCCAGACUCCUACGGGAGGCAGCAGUGAGGAUUCUUGCGCAAUGGGGGCAACCCUGACGCAGCAACGCCGCGUGAGUGAGGAAGGUCUUCGGAUCGUAAAGCUCUGUCGGAUGGAAAGAACCGCAUAGGGGUAAACAGCCCCUGUGUCUGACGGUACCAUCAAAGGAAGCACCGGCUAACUCCGUGCCAGCAGCCGCCGUAACAC